rnacentral:rRNA from 1 species
GUCGAACGGCAGCACGGAGCUUGCUCUGGUGGCGAGUGGCGAACGGGUGAGUAAUAUAUCGGAACGUACCCUAGAGUGGGGGAUAACGUAGCGAAAGUUACGCUAAUACCGCAUACGAUCUAAGGAUGAAAGUGGGGGAUCGCAAGACCUCAUGCUCGUGGAGCGGCCGAUAUCUGAUUAGCUAGUUGGUAGGGUAAAAGCCUACCAAGGCAUCGAUCAGUAGCUGGUCUGAGAGGACGACCAGCCACACUGGAACUGAGACACGGUCCAGACUCCUACGGGAGGCAGCAGUGGGGAAUUUUGGACAAUGGGCGAAAGCCUGAUCCAGCAAUGCCGCGUGAGUGAAGAAGGCCUUCGGGUUGUAAAGCUCUUUUGUCAGGGAAGAAACGGUGAGAGCUAAUAUCUCUUGCUAAUGACGGUACCUGAAGAAUAAGCACCGGCUAACUACGUGCCAGCAGCCGCGGUAAUACGUAGGGUGCAAGCGUUAAUCGGAAUUACUGGGCGUAAAGCGUGCGCAGGCGGUUUUGUAAGUCUGAUGUGAAAUCCCCGGGCUCAACCUGGGAAUUGCAUUGGAGACUGCAAGGCUAGAAUCUGGCAGAGGGGGGUAGAAUUCCACGUGUAGCAGUGAAAUGCGUAGAUAUGUGGAGGAACACCGAUGGCGAAGGCAGCCCCCUGGGUCAAGAUUGACGCUCAUGCACGAAAGCGUGGGGAGCAAACAGGAUUAGAUACCCUGGUAGUCCACGCCCUAAACGAUGUCUACUAGUUGUCGGGUCUUAAUUGACUUGGUAACGCAGCUAACGCGUGAAGUAGACCGCCUGGGGAGUACGG